CCUUCUAACACAUUUCCACAGGAAGAAAUGAGUUUACUGCCAGGAAGAGGAAGCACCCUCCUAUCCAGUUGAUCCGGGGAUGCACAGCUUUAUUUUCUAGAUCGAGACUUGUCCUUGAUACUUAAGAAGCAGUCUGAAACAGCUCCGUGAACUGUCAUCCUGACAACUCUAUCCUCGGAGCACUAUCCUUACCUCCACUGCACAGUGGAGGUGGCUCGGCGUGGAGGAAAGACGAGGUCAAGAGCACCAGGCUCCCCUGCAGCAGAGCCUGUGGCCGCAGCCAGUGGGCCCACGGUGCCCGAGCCUCACCGGCUCGCUCGCACCAUCUCCGCGGCCACACGGAAUAGGGUGCCCUUCCCUGGCGCUGAUGUAGCAGACGUGCCCCCUCCUUCUCACUUCUAUCUCAUCUAACAGUCACAUCACCUGGCAGGCGAGGCGUUAGCAUCUCCCGGUGGCAUGUGCAGGGAAGGCGACAUUUGGAAAUUAGGUGCCUUGCAGAUAAUCAGCUGCAGAGCUGCAAGUGGCCUAGCAUCCUUCACGGCCUCAAAAGGUCACCGACACAGGUGGAGCUGGUGGCUUGGAAGGCUGGAGAAAAAGCCCAUGUGCUCCAGUCAACAGGGAUGGGGCAGCAACACGAGGAGAGGGAUGCGGAGUCGGAGUAGUGAGGAUCUGCUAUGCUCCAGGUGUCUUUGUGGCCUCCGAGAGACAGAUGAAUAAUAAAACGCCACGCUGCCGUGGGCAGAGGCGCUGGGAGGGCCACGGAAGCAGCACCGCCGAGCCAGCAGCCUUCGCCCGAUGGGGAGCCGUUUCCAGAUAGAACCCAAUUUGUUAUCUGCUCUUUUCCUGCCAAAAAUCCCGAUGAGUCAAAAUGGGCCUGUCUGUCACAGCACUUGAUGGCAGGACGAUGCUGGGCAGGGGGACCGAGCGGUCCCCGGAGGACAGGCAGGCCUAGGAAGGAUGCUGGGCAUCGUGCACGGCCCUCCUCCUCCCUGAGGGCGCCCACUGGGGUUGUGAAACCCCAGCACUGACUUUAUAACCUUGACCGGUCAUCCCCACAACCUCCACCCCCAACCCGGGAGCCUGCAAUCCUCUGCCGUAGAGAUAAUAAACCAAGGAGCACGCAGGACACCCCCAGUGUGCCUGCCAUGGUUCCAACGGCUGUCCAUGCACCAGCUGCUGUGCCACAGCCUGUAGCCACGGUAGCGUUAGGAUCCCGCUUUACAGAUGCAGCGCCGGGGUCACUGGGCUGAAGGAACAUGUCCAAGGUCACACAGUGUGUUAGUGGAAAAACCUGGACUAAGUUCAGACACGCAUAGAUGCAUACUUGGGGAGGGGGGGCAGGCAUUGAGGAAAACUGGGAGUGUGGUCAUCCUAGAGGUCGGGGUUGGGGUAGGACGGGAAGGGAAGGAUAUAGUGGAGAAGAGCAAUGAGCGUCUGCACAGAGCUCAGGACACCCUUGCUUCUUGAUUGACUCGUGCUUCCAUGAGGGUUCUCAAUCUCUGCACCAUUUUCCUUUUGGGAUGGGUAAUUCUUUGUCGUGGUGGCCAUCCUGUGCAUUGGAGGGUGUUGACUAGCAUCACUGGCCUCUACCCACUAGAUACCAGGAGCAUGUUCUCCCUCAGUUGUGACAACGAAAAAAUGUCUAUAGAUUUUGCCGAAUGUCCCCAAAGGUGCAAAAUCUCCAUGGUUGAGAACUGCUACUUUCCUAUGAUGUUCACUUUCCAAAAACCGGUUAGGUAUAUACGGUCAUGCUCUGCACAUUUCUGCACGGCUGCUACAUUUCCCAUUAAGAUCAGUUCAAACGAAAAAGAGAAUCCACACAGUGCUUGGGAUGGAGUAGGUGCUCCACAUGUGGUCUCCUUUCCACGCUUCUUCCAGACCCGAUGCCCCGUAUCUCUGUGCACAUCCGGGAGGCAUCCUAUGGCAUAUCCCUGCAUCCUAUUUCCAGAAACCCAAGCCCUGCGUUUUAGCUACAUUUUACCCAGCCCGACUUAGCUACCUAUCACCCAUCUCAUCAUCUCCCAUCCUCAUUGUUUUGUGAAUUUUUUAACAUCAAAAAAAAAAAAAAAAAAGUAA